rnacentral:lncRNA from 1 species
AGGCCAGGGUCACCCAAAGCCGUGAUGACAGCCCGCUUUUCUCUGGUGGUUCUACUCAACCGCUCCACUGAGGUGAUGGGAGAGGUGAGGGGCCCAGGAGGAAGGUGGAGCUCAAAGAUGAGGAAGGGCCACUUGUGCAGAGAAGGGGGCGCCCACAGAGAUUGUGCGGGACUCAUCAAAGACAUCAGGACUCUUGUCCAGUGGCUCAAGGAUGGAAAAGGCCGGGAACUACCGGAAACAAGCACAAAAGAGGCACUCACUGUCCUGGCUUAGGAUGGGGGUACAGAGGCUGUGGUGUGUCCGUGCCUGGCCUGUAAGGAGCACCUGCCACGGGACCUGCAAACCCUCAAAGCAGAAGAAAUGCUGGGCCCCUCUUCUCUCUUGAGAACCCUGUGAUGAUCACUCCAAGGCUCCCCGCAGCUUGGAAAGCAUGUCUGCUCGGGAC